GGAAGGGCUGUAGCUUAGUGUUGUAGCAUCUGCCUUGCAUGCAGGAAAUCUCUGGUUCAAUCCUCAGCAUUUCCA